rnacentral:rRNA from 1 species
AGAUGCCUACGGGAGGCAGCAGUGGGGGAUAUUGCACAAUGGGGGGAACCCUGAUGCAGCGACGCCGCGUGGGUGAAGAAGCGCCUCGGCCCGUAAAGCCCUGUCAGCAGGGAAGAAAAUGACGGUACCUGAAGAAGAAGCCCCGGCUAACUACGUGCCAGCAGCCGCGGUAAUACGUAGGGGGCAAGCGUUAUCCGGAUUUACUGGGUGUAAGGGGGGCGCAGACGGCGAUGCAAGCCAGGAGUGAAAGCCCGGGGCCCAACCCCGGGCC